UAUUCACCAGUAGUAGACAGACUGGCCAAUAGAGAACCAGUUUAUUCACCAGUAGUGGACAGACCGGCCAAUAGAGAACCAGUUUAUUCACCAGUAGUAGACAGACCGGCCAAUAGAGAACUAGUUUAUUCACCAGUAGUAGACAGACCGGCCAAUAGAGAACUAGUUUAUUCACCAGUAGUAGACAGACUGGCCAAUAGAGAACCAGUUUAUUCACCAGUAGUAGACAGACUGGCCAAUAGAGAACCAGUUUAUUCACCAGUAGUGGACAGACCGGCCAAUAGAGAACCAGUUUAUUCACCAGUAGUAGACAGACUGGCCAAUAGAGAACCAGUUUAUUCACCAGUAGUGGACAGACCGGCCAAUAGAGAACCAGUUUAUUCACCAGUAGUGGACAGACCGGCCAAUAGAGAACCAGUUUAUUCACCAGUAGUAGACAGACUACUUGCCCUUCAUGGUUGUGAGGUCUGGGGUCCGCUCACCAACCAAGAGAGAGGUCAGUUAUUGAACCCAUUGCCCUUCAUGGUUGUGAGGUCUGGGGUCCGCUCACCAACCAAGAGAGAGGUCAGUUAUUGAACCCAUUGCCCUUCAUGGUUGUGAGGUCUGAGGUCCGCUCACCAAACAAGAGAGAGGUCAGUUAUUGAACCCAUUGCCCUUCAUGGUUGUGAGGUCUGAGGUCCGCUCACCAACCAAGAGAGAGGUCAGUUAUUGAACCCAUUGCCCUUCAUGGUUGUGAGGUCUGGGGUCCGCUCACCAACCAAGAGAGAGGUCAGUUAUUGAACCCAUUGCCCUUCAUGGUUGUGAGGUCUGGGGUCCGCUCACCAACCAAGAGAGAGGUCAGUUAUUGAACCCAUUGCCCUUCAUGGUUGUGAGGUCUGGGGUCCGCUCACCAACCAAGAGAGAGGUCAGUUAUUGAACCCAUUGCCCUUCAUGGUUGUGAGGUCUGGGGUCCGCUCACCAACCAAGAGAGAGGUCAGUUAUUGAACCCAUUGCCCUUCAUGGUUGUGAGGUCUGGGGUCCGCUCACCAACCAAGAGAGAGGUCAGUUAUUGAACCCAUUGCCCUUCAUGGUUGUGAGGUCUGGGGUCCGCUCACCAACCAAGAGAGAGGUCAGUUAUUGAACCCAUUGCCCUUCAUGGUUGUGAGGUCUGGGGUCCGCUCACCAACCAAGAGAGAGGUCAGUUAUUGAACCCAUUGCCCUUCAUGGUUGUGAGGUCUGGGGUCCGCUCACCAACCAAGAGAGAGGUCAGUUAUUGAACCCAUUGCCCUUCAUGGUUGUGAGGUCUGGGGUCCGCUCACCAACCAAGAGAGAGGUCAGUUAUUGAACCCAUUGCCCUUCAUGGUUGUGAGGUCUGGGGUCCGCUCACCAACCAAGAGAGAGGUCAGUUAUUGAACCCAUUGCCCUUCAUGGUUGUGAGGUCUGAGGUCCGCUCACCAACCAAGAGAGAGGUCAGUUAUUGAACCCAUUGCCCUUCAUGGU